UGGCAACUUCCCAUCCGGAAAUUGAUGCGAAAAGUCAAAAUACCCUCAACUUCUUUCACUAAUUACAAACGCAUGCCAUCCUCCUAUUUCCUGCAGAAACUCCUCAUUUCGAAAUCGGCAGAACACUAGAAACUCUAGAAGAGCAAUCGCAAAGCACGUCUUCGAUUCCUCUCGCAUCCAGUGUCAAUUCGUCCCUCGAUAUAGCGGAAAAGGGUUGCGGUGUUGAUCUCCGUCACUCUACUGUCGGUAGGAUUCAGCAACAGGACAGACGAAGCUCGCGGACCUCCCUUGAACCGAAGCAGAAGAAGCAAACCCUCUGUCUCCGUCUCCGUCUCCGUCUCCGGACCCUCGCUUUCCACCUCCGAGCCCCCUUCUCCCUCUCCAACUGUGACGUAGCCUUCAUCCUCGGCUUCCAAUAGAAGCAUCAGCAGGAGAAUAUGAGUCGCUGUAUCUGGUAAGAAGAUGACCCAAAAACUUUACAAAAGGCAUUCGGGAAGACCAGGUGGUUUCAAUCAACUCCAACAGAGAAUCCCUGAGAGAAUUAUUGAUUAUGCAGUUCGUGGCAUGCUGCCCAAAGGAAGGAAAGCCCCAAAUUAAAUCGGGAAGGCUUCGCAGAAACCCUAACCAGAGCAAUCGAGCUAUUGGGUCUUCGAUUCCUCCCAAAUCCGGCGUCGAUUUGUCCCUCGACUAGCAGAAAAGGACUCCGGGGAAGAUCUCCGCCACUCCAUUGCUGGAGAAAGCAGUAACUGGACAUCUUUCCCUCUUCAUUGGCCUUCGCGGACUCGACGCAAGCGGCGGACAACAUCUUUCCCUCAGGUCUUCUCAUCAGCCCGUAAGCGCUAGGGUUUCCACCUCCGUAUGUAAAUAUCAUAGCAAAGCAAGGAGGAAGGACUGAGUAUAGAAGAGAAACAGAGCUCGGCAUCGGCAUAUGGUUCUUUGCCGGCGAGUGAGCUGAUCAGGGCCGAGCCUGGUGGCCGAGAGAGACUUCCGCCUCACCUUGUCGACUCAAACCCACCAAAAUCUCAUCCUCCAUUAACUCAUUUUCGGCAAACAACUCCUACAGUAUCACAGAUCUUCAUCAUUGACUUCCUUUUGCAGUGCGGGAGAUGACACUCUGCUACCCUUCGACAUCAAAGAAGCUCGCGAUGACCGUUGGAUUCUUCUUAGCUGGAGCUGGACUUUUUGGUUACGGCUUUCAUCUUUGGUACGUCAAUGCUGCUCCUCAGCGAGCGCGAAUAAAGGCUCGCAGUGAAUUUGUCAAAGAAAAGUUGAGGAGGAAGUAUGGGGAUGGCCGAAGAUAGGAACUUUCCCAUACGUAGGAUCACCUUCCUUUGCUCAAAUCCUGGGGAAGAGGAAAUCUUAGCCCUGACAUUUCAGCAGUUUCCGUUUCUCGAGUUGCACAUAUACGGGAUUUCUUCGUAUGAAGGAAAAGUUGGAAUUCAAAGCCUUUGCAGUUUGCACCAUAUGCUGAGUUUUAUGGACUGGCUAAAGCUGAAAUCGGAUAAUUCCUAUCAUCUUGGAAGAGCAUUAUUCAACCACCUCAAAGUUUACAAGGGUUCAUACCAUCCCCAUGAAGUGCAGAAGCCAGUCGAGCUUCUCAUCAGGGACAAGAGGAUACAGAAGCAGAGAUGGGUAGUGUUGUUAACACAUAUAACGCAAAUACCAUGAAUGGUGGCAUCAAGCCUUCUCCAGAAUUUGCCUUUCAUGGUAGCAGUGUUGACUUUAAAACCCCCACCAUUUGACAUAUUUUGUUAUCAAAUUUGGCAUAUUUUUGUUGUUAAAAUGAGCUGUAGAGGUUACCUAUUUUGAAUGCUAACAGUUUCGAAAGUUGAAAGACAGAGCAUUACUGCACUUCUGAAUGUAUUCUUUCACGACCAAA